UUUCCGUUACAGUAACACAGCGACUGCAUCAAAGAGCAGCUUUAUAAAUAAAUUGUUAUUCUGUGGCCACUGAUCGGGUUCUGCUGGCUGACAACGAGACGCAGGCAGCCUAGAAGGCUCAUGGAUAGGAUGGGAUCAUCGUUCCUGUCCUUAAUUGGAAAAUACCCUAUUUGAUGUUGAAAACAAAGCACAGAGUGGAAACGCCAGUCAGCUCCUAUGUUGGUGAAAGAAGAUGAAAGAGCAUGAUUUGGGAAAGGACUACCUGGUACCUGGGCCUGUGUACCGGGCCGUGCCGAGCAGAGACACUACUUUACCAGGCACAGAGGUCACCCCAUACCAGCUGGAGCUCGCCAAGAUCCAGGAUGCUUUGGAGACGGCAGCAAGGGCAGAGGGCGGUUUGUCCCUGGAGGGUGGCGCUCCCUACAUGAAAGAGCUGGAGGAGGAAGCAGUGCGGAGCAAAUACCUACACAGCGUCGGCGUCCUCAAACCUAUCCGCUCCACCAGCAAGCACGAGCACCCAGUGGACAACGCGGGCCUCUUCUCCUUCAUGACCUUCAACUGGCUGACCCCGUUGGCCGUGCACGCCCACCGCAAAGGCCAGCUACUGCUGGAGGACGUGUGGUCCGUGUCCCAGUUUGAGAGCUGCGAGGUUAACCACCGCAGGUUGGCCGGGCUGUGGGAGGAGGAGCGCAGGGUGAAAGGGGACGAGGCCUCCCUGUGCGGUGUGGUCUGGGCCUUCUGUCGGACGCGCCUGCUUCUCUCCAUCCUCUGCCUCAUGGUCACCCAGCUAGCCGGCUUCAGUGGCCCAGCCUUUGUGGUGAAGCGGCUGUUGGAGUACACAGAGCAGGCGGAGCCCGACCUGCCCUACGGCCUGCUGCUGGUCGUGGGGCUGCUAUGCACCGAGCUGGUCCGCUCCUGGUCACUGGCGCUCACCUGGGCCCUCAACUACCGCACAGGCACCCGCCUGCGGGGAGCCAUCCUCACCAUGGCCUUCCACAAGAUCCUGCGGCUCCGCAGCAUCCGAGACAAAUCCAUGGGACAGUUGAUCAACAUGUGUUCUAAUGACGGCCAGCGGAUGUUUGAGGCGGCGGCUGUGGGCAGUCUGCUGGCAGGCGGGCCUCUUAUUGCUGUGCUGGGGAUGGGCUUCAACCUGGCUAUCCUGGGGCCCACCUCCUUACUGGGCUCUGCAGUCUUUAUCCUCUUCUACCCUGCUAUGAUGUUCAGUUCGAGGCUGACGGCCUACUUCAGGAGGAAGGGCGUGGCCGUGACGGACCGCCGGGUCCAGAAGAUGAACGAGAUACUCAACUACAUCAAAUUCAUCAAGAUGUAUGCCUGGGUCAAGGCCUUCUCCCAGGAUGUGCGCAGGAUUCGAGAGGAGGAGCGCAUCAUCCUAGAGAGGACUGGCUACUUCCAGAGCAUCACAGUGGGCGUGGCUCCCAUCGUCGUGGUGAUCGCCAGCGUUGCCACGUUCUCCACUCACAUGUUGCUGGGCUACGACCUCACCGCCGCUCAGGCAUUUACAGUGGUGACUGUUUUCAACGCCAUGACCUUUGCCUUGAAGGUCACCCCUUUCUCUGUCAAGUCCCUGUCAGAAGCAUCAGUAGCCAUGGAGAGGUUCAAGAGCCUGUUCCUGAUGGCGGAGGUGGAGAUGAUCCGGGACAAGCCCCUGAACCCCCAGGUUGCAGUGGAGAUGAUGGGCGCCAGCUUAGCUUGGGAGACGGCGGGUCACAGUGCCCAGCCCACGCCCCGCGGCACCCCCUCGGUUGGCUCCACCCAGAGGCACGGGCGCCGGAGGCCCGCCCAGGAGGACGAGGCAGGGGAGCAGGCAGGGCGUCUGCUGAAGGUGGGGGAGAUCCCUCCCAUCCCCUCCGUCAGCCAGCGGCUGCAGAGGACCCUGCACUGUGUGGACCUCACCGUUCGGCAGGGGAAGCUGACUGGGAUCUGUGGAAGCGUGGGCAGUGGGAAGACCUCUCUGAUCUCUGCCAUCCUUGGACAGAUGACCCUGCUGGAGGGCAAGGUGGCGGUGAACGGGGACUUUGCCUAUGUGGCCCAGCAGGCCUGGAUCCUCAAUGCCACGCUCAGGGACAACAUCCUCUUUGGGAAAGAGUACGAGGAGGAGAGGUUCCAGGCUGUUCUGAGUGCAUGCUGUCUGAGACCUGACCUGGCUAUCCUGCCCAACGCCGAUCUGACUGAGAUCGGAGAGCGUGGCGCCAACCUUAGUGGCGGGCAACGCCAGCGGAUCAGCCUGGCGCGUGCCCUGUACAGUGACCGAGCCAUCUACAUCCUGGACGACCCGCUCAGUGCACUGGAUGCCCACGUGGGCAACCACAUCUUCAACAACGCCAUCAAGAAGCAGCUCCGCCACAAGACCAUCGUCUUCGUCACUCACCAGCUGCAGUACCUGGUGGACUGCGAUGACGUCAUCUUCAUGAGGGAGGGCAGCAUCACGGAGCAAGGCAGCCACGAGGACCUGAUGCGUCUCAAUAGAGACUACGCAGCCAUGUUCAACAACCUACAGCUGGGAGAGACGCCCUUCGUGGAGGUGCCAACUAACAAGUCUGGGAACUCCUUAAAGAAACCCCCUGAGAACACAAAGUCUGGAUCUGUAAAGAAGGACAAGCCUGUUAGCAAAGACAACGGCCAGCUGAUGCAGGUGGAGGAGCGUGGGCGGGGCUCAGUUCCCUGGUCUGUGUACGGCGUCUACAUCCAGGCCUCGGGUGGAGCGCUGGCUUUCCUCUUAAUCCUGGCCCUCUUCGUCCUCAACGUGGGCAGCACGGCCUUCAGCAACUGGUGGCUCAGCUACUGGAUCAAGCAGGGCAGCGGGAAUACCACAGUGUUGGUGGGGAACAGUUCGGUGGUGAGCGAAAGCAUGAGGGACAACCCCCUGAUGCAGCACUACGCUGGAGUCUACGCCUCGUCUAUGGGUGUCAUGCUGCUGCUCAAACUUCUGCGCGGCAUCAUAUUUGUCAAGGGCACUUUGCAAGCUUCGUCCAGGCUGCACGAGGAGCUCUUCAGGAAGAUUCUCCGCAGCCCCAUGAAGUUCUUUGACACCACGCCCACUGGACGGAUCCUCAACCGCUUCUCUAAAGACAUGGACGAGGUGGACACGCGGCUGCCGUUCCAGGCGGAGAUGUUCAUUCAGAACGUCAUCCUGGUCUUCUUCUGCCUGGGCGUGAUCGGCAGCAUCUUCCCCUGGUUCCUAGUGGCUGUGGGCCCCCUGGUGCUGCUCUUCACCGUGCUCCACAUGGUGUCGCGCGUGUUCAUCCGCGAGCUCAAGCGCCUGGAUAAUGUCACCCAGUCGCCCUUCAUCUCUCACAUCACCUCCAGCAUCCAGGGCCUCUCCACCAUCCACGCCUACAACAGGGGCCACGAGUUCCUGGACAGGUAUCAGGAGCUCCUGGAUCAGAACCAGGCUCCCUUCUACCUGUUCAGCUGUGCCAUGCGCUGGCUGGCCGUGCGGCUGGACGUCAUCAGUGUGGCUCUGAUCAGCAUCACCGCGCUCAUGAUCGUCCUCAUGCAUGGCCAGAUCCCUCCGGCCUACGCCGGCCUGGCCAUCUCCUACGCCGUGCAGCUCACAGGGCUGUUCCAGUUCACAGUCAGACUAGCCUCUGAAACGGAGGCUCGCUUCACUUCUGUGGAGAGGAUUCACCACUACAUUGAGUCUCUAGCGCUGGAGGCCCCGGCCCGCAUCAAGAACAAGGCGCCCCCGCCAGACUGGCCCCAGGAGGGCGAGGUGGUGUUUGACCAGACUGAGAUGAGGUACAGAGACAACUUGCCGCUUGUUCUCAAGAAGGUGUCCUGCACCAUCCGUCCCAAGGAGAAGAUUGGCAUAGUGGGCCGGACGGGCUCAGGGAAGUCUUCUCUGGGCGUAGCUCUGUUCCGUCUGGUGGAGCCCUGUGGCGGCUCCAUCAAGAUGGACGGCAUCAACAUCUGUGACAUCGGCCUGGCCGACCUCCGCAGCAAGCUGUCCAUUAUCCCUCAGGAGCCUGUGCUGUUCAGCGGCACAGUCAGGUCAAACCUGGACCCCUUUAAACAAUACGCCGAGGAGCUGAUCUGGGACGCUCUGGAGCGGACACACAUGAAGGAGUGUGUGGGGUGGAGUUAUAGGCACAGAGGCUCAGAAGGGAAGAGUACUCUCUCCCUCUCUGUCCAUCCCUCCAGGUGUCUCAGCUGCCCCUGAAGCUGGAGUCAGAGGUGGUGGAGAACGGAGAGAACUUCUCCAUGGGAGAGAGACAGCUGCUCUGUGUUGCUAGAGUCCUGCUCAGACAGUGCAAGGUUUUGAUCUUGGACGAGGCAACGGCAGCGAUGGACUCUGAGACGGAUUCUCUGAUCCAGGAGACAAUCCGCAAUGCCUUUCAGGACUGCACCACCCUGACCAUAGCCCACCGGCUGCACACCGUACUCAACUGUGACCGCAUCAUGGUGCUCAACCAGGGACAGGUGGUGGAGUUUGACGAGCCGGCCAACCUGCUGGCCAAUGAGAACUCUCGAUUCUGUUCCAUGCUGGCUGCCGUGGAGAACAAGAUCUCUGUGAAAGGCUAAAAUGGGUACAGGAGGCACAGAUGUGCCCUGGAGACGAGGAGAGGGGAGGACGCUCCCAAAGGGGUCCAGCCAUCUGACCUCUUCCUCUGCGUACCCACCCUGAGCUUACCGCUCAGCCUGUGGAGGAGUGCAGCAUCAGACCAUGGAAUUAGAAUUCUACGGUUGCAUCAGGUCCUUGGUAUAAGGCAAGGGCUGCCCUGAGGAGAUGCUUGCUCAGAAGCCAUUUCAGCUGGAAUGGUCAGGGAACCACUGAUACUGUACUGUCUUUAGUAAUAUAUAAGAAAUAAAGCUUUACAUGUAGCUAUAUUCAUAGCAUAACUGGUCUGUUUUAUAGGAUAUAUCUAUAUAUACAUAUAUUUACAGUGGUAAAAUAUGCUUUAUUUUCUACUGACUCUAUGUACAACGUAGUUGUAUGAAAUGUAUUAUUGUAUAUUCACUCGUGUUUUACCAUCAUUGCUGUCUAACUUCGCUGUUUAUUUUUUUUGCGGCUUGAAACAUCUGUAAUCCUUUCUCUUGUGACUUGAACCCACAAGCCCUUAAACCCUGGACCCUGGCACAAGUGGUGGAUCUGUGGGGCCUAGUGGGAUAUAAGACUCUAAGAGAGAAAUGGUGCUGCUUGUCCUCAGUGUUUUCACUGGGCAAUCAAAAGGACGUGCUUAAAGGUAGAAAUAACCCUGCUUAAAGGUAGAGGGUAUCACCCCUUCUUAAAGGUAGAAAUAACCCUGCUUAAAGGUAGAGGGUAUCACCCCUGCUUAAAGGUAGAAAUAACCCUGCUUUAAGGUAGAGGGUAUCACCCCUUCUUAAAGGCCUUGUAUGUCUGCAGCCUAGUCCCUCUCUUAACUCUCUUUCUACUGACUUGUUAUUAUCAUGAUUCUUUUGACUGCUGUUAACUUCAGUUUGUUGUUACUGUUUGUCACAGCCCUUUUGCACUGAUGGUGAAGCUACAGGGGGUCGCCAUCUGCUGUUGGGGAGGUCCUGCGACUGUUCUACAUUAUUAUUAUUAUUAUUAUUAUUAUUUAUGGUGACAUAAAAGAUGCCUGUUGAGCACAAGGUCUUUGUGAUUUGAACAAGAUUUCAUUCUCUUUGCCCUGACCCAGUGAAUCUUUUAUGUGUGUGUUGUCAAUCUGCUCAUUGACACUGUUUGGACCAGAACCACACAGAUUAUAACACUCCUGCACUGGGUGUAGUAGGGAACCUCUAUCCUGUCUUUGCAGUAUUGAGGUGAUGCUCAUACUGUAACUACAAAUAACCUCGGCAAGCCUUGCAGAAUGUGUGUCGUUCUGUCAUUUCUAUUACUUUUUAUAGCCUUAGCAUGACUUCAUUAUUGCCUUGUUAACAGGGUAGGAUGAAGUGGAAAGGGAUCGCUUUGAAAUAUUCUGUCAAUAAAACUAUUUUAGGUUUA